GACGAACGCUGGCGGCGUGCCUAAUACAUGCAAGUCGAACGCUUCUUUCCUCCCGAGUGCUUGCACUCAAUUGGAAAGAGGAGUGGCGGACGGGUGAGUAACACGUGGGUAACCUACCCAUCAGAGGGGGAUAACACUUGGAAACAGGUGCUAAUACCGCAUAACAGUUUAUGCCGCAUGGCAUAAGAGUGAAAGGCGCUUUCGGGUGUCGCUGAUGGAUGGACCCGCGGUGCAUUAGCUAGUUGGUGAGGUAACGGCUCACCAAGGCCACGAUGCAUAGCCGACCGGAGAGGGUGAUCGGCCACACGGGGACUGAGACACGGCCCAGACUCCUACGGGAGGCAGCAGUAGGGAAUCUUCGGCAAUGGACGAAAGUCUUACCGAGCAACGCCGCGUGAGUGAAGAAGGUUUUCGGAUCGUAAAACUCUGUUGUUAGAGAAGAACAAGGACGUUAGUAACUGAACGUCCCCUGACGGUAUCUAACCAGAAAGCCACGGCUAACUACGUG
rnacentral:rRNA from 1 species